CAAAAAACGACAAUUAGGGGAGGAAAAUAAACUAACAAGAAAAGAAAACAGUUCAGCACUAAGUCACUUUGUCUAUAUGGCAAAUGUGAGAUGCAGUGUAUAGAGCGUCAAUAUUCUAGUAUGAGAAAUUAACGAUUUAGGUCUUUCUUAAAUGAGGCCAUUUACCCAUAGAGGGUGCCAGGCCCGUAUAACCAUAAUGAUUACUAGAUGAUGUUUCCAAAGAGUCGUGUUGCUUGAUAGUGCAGCACUAAGUGGGUGGUAAACUCCAUAUAAAACUAAAUAUAACCAUGAGACCGAUAGUAAACAAGUACCGUGAGGGAAAGUUGAAAAGAACUCUGAAUAAAGAAUUAAACAGUACGUGAAACUGCUUAGAGGUUAAGCCCGAUGAACCUGAAUAUCCGUUAUGGAAAACGCAUCAUUAAAAUUGUAAUAUUUAAAUAAUAUUAUGAGGAUAGUGUGAAUUUUUUCCAUAUAAGGACAUUGUAAUCUAUUAGCAUAUACCAAAUUUAUCAUAAAAUAUAACUUAUAGUUUAUUCCAAUUAAAUUGCUAGCAUUUAAACACAGAAUAAAUGUUAUUAAUUCGAUAAAGUGCUGAUAGAUUAAUAUGAUUACAGUGCGUUAAUUUUUCGGAAUUCUAUAAUAUGUGUUUAUUAUAUGAUAUUUAUUGUAUGAUUAACAAUACGAAAGAUUCAGGAUACCUUCGGGACCCGUUUUGAAACACGGACCAAGGAGUCUAACAUAUGUGCAAGUUAUUGGGAUAUAAACCUAAUAGAGUAAUUAACUUGACUAAUAAUGAGAUUAGUUUUUUAACUAUUUAUAGCUAAUAAACACAAUCCCGGGGCGUUCUGUAUAGUUAUGUAUAAUGUAUAUUUAUAUUAUUUAUGCCUCUAACUGGAACGUACCUUGAGCAUAUAUGCUGUGAACCGAAAGAUGGUGAACUAUACUUGAUCAGGUUGGUGUCAGGGGAAACCCUGAUGGAAGACCGAAACAGUUCUGACGUGCAAAUCGAUUGUCAGAAUUGAGUAUAGGGGCGAAAUCGAACCAUCUAGUAGCUGGUUCCUUCCGAAGUUUCCCUCAGGAUAGCUGGUGCAUUUUAAUAAUAUAUAAAAUAAUCUUAUCUGGUAAAGCGAAUGAUUAGAGGCCUUAGGGUCUCAAACUUUAAAUGGGUAAGAACCUUAACUUUCUUGAUAUGAAGUUCAAGGUUAUGAAGGGUUAAGGCAGAACUGGCGCUGUGGGAUGAACCAAACGAAGUGUUACGGUGCCCAAAUUAACAACUCAUGCAGAUACCAUGAAAGGCGUUGGUUGCUUAAAACAGCAGGACGGUGAUCAUAGAAGUCGAAAUCCGCUAAGGAGUGUGUAACAACUCACCUGCCGAAGCAACUAGACCUUAAAAUGGAUGGCGAUUAAGUUUUAUACCUAUACGUUACCGCUGAAGUAGAUGAUUUAUAUUACUUGUGAUAUAAAUUUUGAAACUUUAGUGAGUAGGAAGGUACAAUGGUAUGCGUAGAAGUGUUUGGCGUAAGCCUGCAUGGAGCUGCCAUUGGUACAGAUCUUGGUGGUAGUAGCAAAUAAUCGAAUGAGACCUUGGAGGACUGAAGUGGAGAAGGGUUUCGUGUGAACAGCGGUUGAUCACGAGUUAGACGGUCCUAAGUUCAAGGCGAAAGCCGAAACUUUUCAAGUAAAACAAAAAUGCCAAAUUAUAUAAAAAAGCGAAAAUAAUACACUUGAAUAAUUUUGAACGAAAGGGAAUACGGUUCCAAUUCCGUAACCUGUUGAGUAUCCGUUUGUUAUUAAAUAUGGGCCAUAAAGAAGCCGUCGAGAGAUAUCGAGUUUUUUCGAGAGUUUUCUUUUCUGUUUUAUAGCCGAACUACCAUGGAAGUCUUUCGCAGAGAGAUAUGGAAGAUGGGCUAGAAGAGCAUGACAUAUACUGUUGUGUCUAUAUUUUCUCCUCGGACCUUGAAAAUUUAUGGUGGGGACACGCAAACUUCUCAACAGGCCGUACCAGUUUUUUGACAACUAUCGUCCAGUGCUGACGUGCCUACGAAAAAAGUGUUUAUUUUCUGAGUG
rnacentral:rRNA from 1 species